AUUGAACGCUGGCGGCAUGCCUUACACAUGCAAGUCGAACGGUAACAGGUCUUCGGAUGCUGACGAGUGGCGAACGGGUGAGUAAUACAUCGGAACGUGCCCGAUCGUGGGGGAUAACGCAGCGAAAGCUGUGCUAAUACCGCAUACGAUCUACGGAUGAAAGCGGGGGAUCGCAAGACCUCGCGCGGACGGAGCGGCCGAUGGCAGAUUAGGUAGUUGGUGGGAUAAAAGCUUACCAAGCCGACGAUCUGUAGCUGGUCUGAGAGGACGACCAGCCACACUGGGACUGAGACACGGCCCAGACUCCUACGGGAGGCAGCAGUGGGGAAUUUUGGACAAUGGGGGAAACCCUGAUCCAGCCAUGCCGCGUGCAGGAUGAAGGCCUUCGGGUUGUAAACUGCUUUUGUACGGAACGAAAAGGUCCUUUCUAAUAAAGAGGGCUCAUGACGGUAC
rnacentral:rRNA from 1 species